GACGAACGCUGGCGGCGUGCUUAACACAUGCAAGUCGAACGGAAAGGCCCUGCUUUUGUGGGGUGCUCGAGUGGCGAACGGGUGAGUAACACGUGAGUAACCUGCCCUUGACUUUGGGAUAACUUCAGGAAACUGGGGCUAAUACCGGAUAGGAGCUCCUGCUGCAUGGUGGGGGUUGGAAAGUUUCGGCGGUUGGGGAUGGACUCGCGGCUUAUCAGCUUGUUGGUGGGGUAGUGGCUUACCAAGGCUUUGACGGGUAGCCGGCCUGAGAGGGUGACCGGCCACAUUGGGACUGAGAUACGGCCGAGACUCCUACGGGAGGCAGCAGUGGGGAAUAUUGCACGAUGGGCGGAAGCCUGAUGCAGCAACGCCGCGUGCGGGAUGACGGCCUUCGGGUUGUAAACCGCUUUCGCCUGUGACGAAGCGUGAGUGACGGUAAUGGGUAAAGAAGCACCGGCUAACUACGUG
rnacentral:rRNA from 1 species